rnacentral:rRNA from 1 species
UACAGAGGUCUCAAGCGUUGUUCGGAUUCAUUGGGCGUAAAGGGUGCGUAGGCGGCGCGGUAAGUCGGGUGUGAAAUCUCGGAGCUUAACUCCGAAACUGCAUUCGAUACUGCCGUGCUUGAGGACUGGAGAGGAGACUGGAAUUUACGGUGUAGCGGUGAAAUGCGUGAGAUAUCGAUAACGGAAGACCAGUGGCGGAAGGCGGGUC